AUGUCCAUGCAAAGGGUUUUCACAGCUCAGGUGUCCAGUCAGAAAUUCCUGACAAUGGUAUGCAAGAACGCAGAUUGUCCCGCCAGGGUGGACGACUUUCUCCCUAAGUACGGCACAAGUUGGGUGAUAAGUGACUUAGUUAAUCACACUUGUCUUAUUCCCUGCAUACCUCAAUAUCAUGCCAACCUUUCAUCGACGCUUAUUGCUCGGUUGUUUUACGAAGAGAUAGUGCAGGGCAAAGCUAUUGAAGUGAAGGCAGUCCAGACAAAAGUCUUCGCCAGGUUCAAGUACAUAAUUUCUUAUGGCAAGGCUUGGAGGGCUAAGCAUGCGGCGCUUGAGAGGAGAUUUGGUUCUUAUUUUGAUGCAUAUGACUCUGUUGUCCAGCUCCUGCACACCCUGCAGCAGCGGAAUCCAGGCACCUAUAUCGAUAUCCAAGACAUGUUCAUGCCAGAGUUCCCAACGGUGAGGGUGCUGCAUUGUCUCUUCUUCUCUUUCGAUGUAUGCAUCGAAGCUUUCAGGCAUUGCCGACCGGUGAUAUGUGUUGACGGUACUCUUCUCACAGGCAAGUACAAGGGUCAGAUCCUGACAGCCAUAGGUCAAGACGGCCAAAAUCAAGUCGUCCCACUCGCAUUUGCUUUUGUGGAGAGUGAGAACAUUGAAAGUUGGACAUGGUUCUUCAGGCAGUUGAAAAUAUCAGUUGUGAAGGAGAAGCCCAAUGUGUGCAUCCUUCAUGACAGGCAUGCAGGUAUACUCAGUGCGAUAAGGACACUGACAAACCCAGGCCCUGAGGAACAAGUUCCAUGGCAGGACUUGCAGAGCCGUUGGUGCAUACGCCAUCUGGGGGGCUAA
rnacentral:rRNA from 1 species